GACGAACCGUGCGAACGUUGUUCGGAUUCACUGGGCUUAAAGGGCGCGUAGGCGGACCUGCCAGUCAGGGGUGAAAGCCCCCGGCCCCAACCGGGGAAGUGCCUUUGAUACUGCAAGUCUCGAGCGGGAUAGGGGCAGCUGGAACUUCCGGUGGAGCGGUGAAAUGCGUAGAUAUCGGAAGGAACGCCGGUGGCGAAAGCGAGCUGCUGGAUCCCUCCUGACGCUGAGGCGCGAAAGCCAGGGGAGCGAACGGG
rnacentral:rRNA from 1 species